rnacentral:rRNA from 1 species
UACGGGGGGGGCAAGCGUUGUUCGGAAUUACUGGGCGUAAAGGGCUCGUAGGUGGCCAACUAAGUCAGACGUGAAAUCCCUCGGCUUAACCGGGGAACUGCGUCUGAUACUGGAUGGCUUGAGUUUGGGAGAGGGACGCGGAAUUCCAGGUGUAGCGGUGAAAUGCGUAGAUAUCUGGAGGAACACCGGUGGCGAAGGCGGCGUCCUGGACCAACACUGACCACUGAGGAGCGAAAGCCAGGGGAGCAAAGCGGG